rnacentral:rRNA from 1 species
UACGGAGGGUGCAAGCGUUAUCCGGAUUCACUGGGUUUAAAAGGUGCGUAGGUGGGCAGGUAAGUCAGUGGUGAAAUCUCCGGGCUUAACUCGGAAACUGCCAUUGAUACUAUCUGUCUUGAAUACCGUGGAGGUUAGCGGAAUAUGUCAUGUAGCGGUGAAAUGCUUAGAUAUGACAUAGAACACCAAUUGCGAAGGCAGCUGGCUACACGAAUAUUGACACUGAUGCACGAAAGCGUGGGGAUCAAACAGG